rnacentral:rRNA from 1 species
UACGUAGGGUGCGAGCGUUAAUCGGAAUUACUGGGCGUAAAGUGUGCGCAGGCGGCCGCGCAAGUCGAGUGUGAAAGCCCCGGGCUUAACUUGGGAAUUGCGCUCGAAACUACGUGGCUGGAGUAUGGCAGAGGAAGGUGGAAUUCCACGUGUAGCGGUGAAAUGCGUAGAGAUGUGGAGGAGCACCGAUGGCGAAGGCAGCCUUCUGGGCCAAUACUGACGCUCAUGCACGAAAGCGUGGGGAGCAAACAGG